rnacentral:antisense_RNA from 2 species
UUUUAUGGCGGGCCGUGCGGGCAGCCUAACGGCUGGCCGGUUUUCCUUAUUUUGUCCGGUAUUGCUUCCCCGCACUGCCUGCCUCCCCU